rnacentral:tRNA from 1 species
GGCGUAGCUCAGUUGGUAGAGCCCCGGAUUGUGAUUCCGGUGGUCGUGGGUUCGAUCCCCAUCGUC